rnacentral:rRNA from 1 species
UACAGAGGUCCCAAGCGUUGUUCGGAUUCACUGGGCGUAAAGGGUGCGUAGGUGGUGAGGUAAGUCGGAUGUGAAAUCUCCGGGCUUAACCCGGAGCGGCCAAGUGAUACUGUUGUGCUAGAGUGCAGAAGGGGCAACUGGAAUUCCGGGUGUAGUGGUGAAAUGCGUAGAGAUCCGGAGGAACACCAGUGGCGAAGGCGACACGCUGGGCCGUACCUGACACUGAUGCGCGACAGCAUGGGGAGCAAACAGG